AAGCUCCAGCCAAGCCCAGGGACUCUCUCUGCCUGCUCCCUGAGGAUCCAUAUGUAAAAUCUCAGCUCCUCCCCAGCACCACGUCUGCCUGCAUGCUGCCAUGCUUCUCGCCAUGAUGACAAUGGACUAAACCUCUGAACUGUAGGCCAGCCAAUAGUUGGUAGCUUCUCCAGCUUUGAUCUGGAAGUGCUACCCCCAUUGAUGCUUCCCAUAACUGUCACUUCUAGGAGAUGGGACCAAGACAGGAGCCCUUAAGACCUGAGAUCCGGAUGUGCCGACUCUCUCGGUUCCUGGACCCUGGAUACUGGAGGUAGACUGAGCAGAGUUCUCUAGAGAACACUGCUGGACUGCACUUCAUCUCUCCCGAGCCCUGUAACCUAUCCCUUCACUUGAAAAUGGAUGCAACUGAAGGUCAUCCUCUUAAGCACCAAAUUAAGCCUCAGAAAGACAACAUCACAUGCCUCUUCCCGUUUAUGGAUCCCAGAUUUAAUAGAGAUGUAGAUGAGCACACAGGACAUGAAGGAGGAGUGAAGAGAAAUGUUAUAAACUCCAUGAAGAACAAAUGGUCAGGGCAGAUCUCAUUUCUCGAAGUAAGAUGGAGCCUCAGAAAGUUAAGGCUAGAGAAGCAGAUGUGAAAGGUCAGACCUAAUCACAUGGCCAACUGAACAGUUCCUGGCUGCCAGGUGAGUAGCUUCCAAGAACCUCAGAGCUGUUGGCAAAG